rnacentral:rRNA from 1 species
UACGGAGGGGGCUAGCGUUGUUCGGAAUUACUGGGCGUAAAGAGCGCGCAGGCGGCCAAGUCAGUCGAAUGUGAAAGCCCCCGGCUUAACUGGGGAGGGUCAUUCGAUACUGCUCGGCUCGAAGACAGGAGAGGGAAGUGGAAUUCCCGGUGUAGUGGUGAAAUGCGUAGAUAUCGGGAGGAACACCAGUGGCGAAGGCGACUUUCUGGCCUGUUCUUGACGCUGAGGCGCGAAAGCUAGGGGAGCAAACGGG